UCUCUCUGCUUUCAGCUUCUUUACAGUGUUGCCUUGUGGCAUGGAGUUCAAGCAGCAUUGUACAGGGCUAUCAAAGCACAGAGA
rnacentral:pre_miRNA from 1 species